AGUGAACGCUGGCGGUAGGCCUAACACAUGCAAGUCGAACGGCAGCACCGUAAGAGCUUGCUCUUACGGGUGGCGAGUGGCGGACGGGUGAGGAAUACAUCGGAAUCUACUUUUUCGUGGGGGAUAACGUAGGGAAACUUACGCUAAUACCGCAUACGACCUACGGGUGAAAGCAGGGGAUCUUCGGACCUUGCGCGAUUGAAUGAGCCGAUGUCGGAUUAGCUAGUUGGCGGGGUAAAGGCCCACCAAGGCGACGAUGCGUAGCUGGUCUGAGAGGAUGAUCAGCCACACUGGAACUGAGACACGGUCCAGAGUCCUACGGGAGGGAGCAGUGGGGAAUAGUGGACAAUGGGCGCAAGCCUGAUCCAGCCAUACCGCGUGGGUGAAGAAGGCCUUCGGGUUGUAAAGCCCUUUUGUUGGGAAAGAAAAGCAGCAGGUUAAUACCCCGCUGUUCUGACGGUACCCAAAGAAUAAGCACCGGCUAACUUCGUG
rnacentral:rRNA from 1 species